GAUGAACGCUGGCGGCGUGCCUAAUACAUGCAAGUCGAGCGAACGGACGAGACGCUUGCUUCUCUGAUGUUAGCGGCGGACGGGUGAGUAACACGUGGAUAACCUACCUAUAAGACUGGGAUCACUUCGGGAAACCGGCGCUAAUCCCGGAUGAUCUUUUGAACCGUAUGGUUCAAAAGUGAAAGACGGUCUUGCUGUCACUUAUCGAUGGAUCCGCGCUGCAUUAGCUGGUUGGUAAGGUAACGGCUUACGAAGGCAACUAGGCAUAGCCGACGUGUGAGAGGGAUAGGCGGCACGGGAACGGAGACACGGUCCAUAGUCCUACGAUAGGCAGCAGUAUGGUAUCGGACGCAACGGUCGAAAACCUUACGUAGCAACGCCGCGUGAGAGAUGAAGGUCCUCGGAGCGGAAAACUCGGUUACGAGGGAAGAACAGAUGUGUAAGUAGCUGAGCACAGCUUGACGGUACCUAAUCAGAAAGCCACGGCUAACUACGUG
rnacentral:rRNA from 1 species